rnacentral:rRNA from 1 species
AUUGAACGCUGGCGGCAGGCCUAACACAUGCAAGUCGAACGAGUGGCGGACGGGUGAGUACUGUCUGGGAAACUGCCUGAUGGAGGGGGAUAACUACUGGAACCGGUAGCUAAUACCGCAUACCAUCGGAUGUGCCCUGGUGGGAUUAGCUAGUAGGUGGGGUAAAGGCUCACAUAGGCGACCAUCCCUAGCUGGUCUGAGAGGAGGACCAGCCACACUGGAACGGAGACACGGUCCAGACUCCUACGGGAGGCAGCAGUGGGGAAUAUUGCACAAUGGGCGCAAGCCUGAUGCAGCCAUGCCGCGUGUAUGAAGAAGGCCUUCGGGUUGUAAAGUACUUUCAGCGGGGAGGCGUUACCCGCAGAAGAAGCACCGGCUAACUCCGUGCCAGCAGCCGCGGUAAUUC